GUGGAGGGCUUGGUUUUGGUUGUUUCCGACCGAUUGACCCUUCGUUUCCUCCUUCUUGAGCUGUUCACAUAACGAUCCGUGGCUCCUCAAAGUGGAUCGGAUUGGGCGAUACCUUCUGGAGACAACCGAUUGAGGGAGGUGUUCUUGAGCUGCCGAGAAGAGGCUAGAAGGAUGGUUAAUUGAUCAGUGAUCUCCCUGCUUGACCUCCUGUUGUGAUCCGAUUGAUUCCAAUGAGGUUGAGUGCUGUGGAUCAACAAGCACGACUGUGAGUGUUUGGUCUUGCAUUGUGAUGGCGUCUGAGUGUUGGCUUGGUCUAUGUUGGCUUGCUACAUAUCUAGAAAGCUCCAUGAUUUGUGCUAAGCUGAAGCGUAUCCAAUUUGGAUUUUCCAGCUCAAAAUAUCAGUAGAUUUGUUGUGGUAGUGCCUUAACAGGAUUUGAGACUUCUCCAUUCAGGAAAAGACAAGUCCGGUAGAUACAAAAAUUACAAGAUUGCAAGUUUGGAUUGAAGGUCACAAGAAAAAAAAUGGGGAGCCUAGUACUCAAGUUGUUGGAGAGAAAAUAGUGGACCUAAUUCGACCAAAU